GCAUACCGGGCAUAUUCGCUUAGAUAACACUGUAUCCCGUCUAAUCUCCUAGGAUAAUCUAGCGAGCGCUGGAUUAGUAGUUAGGUCGGUGACGACUAGCGAAUACCCGGUGUUGUAUGUU
rnacentral:rRNA from 1 species